UCCUGGCUCAGAUUGAACGCUGGCGGCAUGCCUUACACAUGCAAGUCGAACGGCAGCGGACCUUCGGGUGCCGGCGAGUGGCGAACGGUGAGUAAUAUAUCGGAACGUACCUUCAGGUGGGGGAUAACGUAGCGAAAGUUACGCUAAUACCGCAUAUUCUGUGAGCAGGAAAGCAGGGGAUCGCAAGACCUUGCGCUGAUUGAGCGGCCGAUAUCAGAUUAGCUAGUUGGUGAGGUAAAGGCUCACCAAGGCGACGAUCUGUAGCGGGUCUGAGAGGAUGAUCCGCCACACUGGAACUGAGACACGGUCCAGACUCCUACGGGAGGCAGCAGUGGGGAAUUUUGGACAAUGGGCGCAAGCCUGAUCCAGCCAUGCCGCGUGAGUGAAGAAGGCCUUCGGGUUGUAAAGCUCUUUCGGCCGGGAAGAAAUCGCACAGGUUAAUACCCUGUGUGGAUGACGGUACCGGAAUAAGAAGCACCGGCUAACUACGUG
rnacentral:rRNA from 1 species